UACGUAGGGUGCAAGCGUUGUCCGGAAUUAUUGGGCGUAAAGAGCUCGUAGGCGGUUUGUCGCGUCGAAUGUGAAAACCCGGGGCUCAACCCCGGGCCUGCAUUCGAUACGGGCAGACUAGAGUUCGGUAGGGGAGUCUGGAAUUCCUGGUGUAGCGGUGAAAUGCGCAGAUAUCAGGAGGAACACCGGUGGCGAAGGCGGGACUCUGGGCCGAUACUGACGCUGAGGAGCGAAAGCGUGGGGAGCAAAACGGG
rnacentral:rRNA from 1 species